rnacentral:snRNA from 1 species
GGAUGUGAGGGCGAUCUGGCUGCGACAUCUGUCACCCCAUGGAUCGCCAGGGUUGAUUCGGCUGAUCUGGCUGGCUAGGCCGGUGUCCCCUUCCUCCCUCACCGCUCCAUGUGCGUCCCUCCCGAAGCUGCGCACUCGGUCGAAGAGGACGACCUUCCCCGAUAGAGGAGACGACCGUUCUUCGGUCAAGGGUAUACGAGUAGCUGCGUCCCCUGCUAGAACCUCCAGACAAGCUCUCAAAACUGCUCAUAACUAUCACACUGUGCAGCCUCUAGACUAUUAAAAACAGUAAAUACUUCUGAUGUGGUAUUGUAGAAUGGCUU